rnacentral:rRNA from 1 species
GUCGAACGGCAGCACGGGAGCAAUCCUGGUGGCGAGUGGCGAACGGGUGAGUAAUAUAUCGGAACGUGCCCAGUCGUGGGGGAUAACGUAGCGAAAGCUACGCUAAUACCGCAUACGAUCUAUGGAUGAAAGCGGGGGAUCGCAAGACCUCGCGCGAUUGGAGUGGCCGAUAUCAGAUUAGGUAGUUGGUGAGGUAAAGGCUCACCAAGCCGACGAUCUGUAGCUGGUCUGAGAGGACGACCAGCCACACUGGAACUGAGACACGGUCCAGACUCCUACGGGAGGCAGCAGUGGGGAAUUUUGGACAAUGGGCGCAAGCCUGAUCCAGCAAUGCCGCGUGCAGGAUGAAGGCCUUCGGGUUGUAAACUGCUUUUGUACGGAGCGAAAAGGCUCUCACUAAUACUGGGGGCUCAUGACGGUACCGUAAGAAUAAGCACCGGCUAACUACGUGCCAGCAGCCGCGGUAAUACGUAGGGUGCAAGCGUUAAUCGGAAUUACUGGGCGUAAAGCGUGCGCAGGCGGUCUUGUAAGACAGAUGUGAAAUCCCCGGGCUUAACCUGGGAAUGGCAUUUGUGACUGCAAGGCUGGAGUACGGCAGAGGGGGAUGGAAUUCCGCGUGUAGCAGUGAAAUGCGUAGAUAUGCGGAGGAACACCGAUGGCGAAGGCAAUCCCCUGGGCCUGUACUGACGCUCAUGCACGAAAGCGUGGGGAGCAAACAGGAUUAGAUACCCCUGGUAGUCCACGCCCCUAAACGAUGUCAACU